UACGUAGGGGGCGAGCGUUAUCCGGAUUUACUGGGCGUAAAGCGCGUGUAGGUGGUUGCGCAAGUUGGUUGUGAAAUCUCCCGGCUCAACCGGGAAACUGCAGCCAAUACUGCGUGGCUAGAGUGGCAGAGAGGAAAGUGGAAUUCCCGGUGUAGUAGUGAAAUGCGUAGAUAUCGGGAGGAACACCAGCGGCGAAGGGCGACUUUCUGGCUGCCAACUGACACUGAGACGCGAAAGCUAGGGGAGCGAACGGG
rnacentral:rRNA from 1 species